CCCACUUAGGCCAUGAAGGGCAAUCUGCUUUAAUUAAAUCCAUUGAUUUGAAUGUUACUCUUUCAUAGACAAGCACACAGAAUAGUGCUUCAUCAACCCUCUGGCACCAUGUGCUUCAGCCAGGUAGACAAUUAAAAUCUCAUCAUAUGCAACUUAGACUGCGAUGUCUCCAUAUGAAAUUAUGUCUGGUUUUCUACAUUAUCUUAGAUAUGCCACUUGACAAAAAGUUACACACACCUGGAUUCUGAAGUCUCUUUCAGGCAUUGCUACGGGAGCAGCUUGAUUCCAUCACCACCCUAGAGAAGAACUUAAGAGACAUUUUCAGCAAUGACCACCACCCUUGGAAAACAUUUGGAAAAUAAAAUUAUUAGUGGAGCUAAAUUGAGACAUUUUUAUGACUGCCUCUGAUGUAGGAAACCUUAGGAAACAAUUUGAAGUUCAGAAAGGCACACUCUUAUUAAGCAAGGGACCUUUUAUGGCCAGGGAACAAGAACAAUGGCAACACUGGCUGACAUGACUCUCACUGAGGCUGGGCUGCUGCUGAUUGAUACCCAUUUUUAUAGCACUUUUGCCCUCACCUUCCUGACAUGAUUUAUUAAAUAUUGCUG
ensembl:lncRNA